rnacentral:rRNA from 1 species
GAGGAAAAGAAACUAACAAGGAUUCCCCUAGUAACGGCGAGUGAAGUGGGAAGAGCUCAACUUUGUAAUCUGGCUGCUUCGCAGUCCGAGUUGUAGUCUAAAGAAGCAUGAUCCGCGCCGGACCUUGGGCAUGUCUGUUGGAAAGCAGUGUCAAAGAGGGUGAUAAUCCCGUACAUACCAAGGACGACCGUGUGCAUUGUGGUCUGCUCUCUAAGAGUCGAGUUGUUUGGGAAUGCAGCUCUAAUUGGGUGGUAAAUUCCAUCUAAAGCUAAAUAUCGACGAGAGACCGAUAGCGAACAAGUACAGUAAUGGAAAGAUGAAAAGUAGCCUGCAGAGGCAAUGAAACAAUACGUGAAACCGUUUGUAGGGAAGCGAUGGAACCUUUUCACGCUGCGAGGGUUCAGCCUUUCUUCGGAUUGGUGUAUUCCCUCGUUUUGCGGACCAGCAUCAGUUUGCUUGGCAGUAUAAGGGUGUUUGGAACGUGGCUCCCACGGGAGUGUUAUAGCCUUUCACUGGAUGCUGCCUCGCAGACUGAGGACUGCAGUGCGCCAUUAUGGCAU